AACAUCGCCUCUUGUUCAACUAUAAGAGGUCUAGCCUGCCCAGUGACACAGUUAAACGGCCGCGGUACCCUGACCGUGCGAAGGUAGCAUAAUCACUUGUUCUUUAAAUGAGGACUCGUAUCAACGGCAUCACGAGGGCUAUACUGUCUCCCCUCUCUAAUCAGUGAAACUGACUUCCCCGUGAAGAGGCGGGGAUAAAUAUACAAGACGAGAAGACCCCAUGGAGCUUUAAACCCAAUAACAACCUCUACUUAAAUCUACCUUAAAAAUCAAGAAGUACUGUUUAUUGGUUUUAGGUUGGGGUGACCACGGAGUAUAAUUAAACCUCCACGACGAACGGUAUAUCCUAAUCCAAGAGCUACCACUCUAAGAAUCAACAAUUUGACGUAAUAUGAUCCGACAACGAUCAACGAACCAAGUUACCCUGGGGAUAACAGCGCAAUCCAUUUCAAGAGCCCCUAUCGACAAAUGGGUUUACGACCUCGAUGUUGGAUCAGGGUAUCCCAGUGGUGCAGCCGCUACUAAAGGUUUGUUUGUUCAACAAUUAAAACCCUACGUGAUCUGAGUUCAGA
rnacentral:rRNA from 1 species